GCAGCUCACGCAAGGAAGCGGAGGACAUGUCUGCCAAGAGGAUAUGAGAAGACACCUGUAGUAUGGCCUCAGUCAUGAUUGAAAUGCACAGAAGGAAAGGCAGCGGGACAGAAUGAUGUCAGAGUGUCCACAGACCGUCAUCGGGUGGUGGAAUUGUGGGCGAUUUCCUCUGCUUCUCUGGGUUUUCCAAUGAUACCAAGAUGAACAUGCACUUUUAUACAGCCAGCCCCUAAAGGAGAGGCUGCCAGAUAAAUUAUUUUUCUAAGAAGAGAGAAG